AGUGAACGCUGGCGGUAGGCCUAACACAUGCAAGUCGAACGGCAGCACAGUAAGAGCUUGCUCUUACGGGUGGCGAGUGGCGGACGGGUGAGGAAUACAUCGGAAUCUACUUUUUCGUGGGGGAUAACGUAGGGAAACUUACGCUAAUACCGCAUACGACCUACGGGUGAAAGCAGGGGAUCCUCGUACCUUGCGCGAUUGAAUGAGCCGAUGUCGGAUUAGCUAGUUGGCGGGGUAAAGGCCCACCAAGGCGACGAUCCGUAGCUGGUCUGAGAGGAUGAUCAGCCACACUGGAACUGAGACACGGUCCAGACUCCUACGGGAGGCAGCAGUGGGGAAUAUUGGACAAUGGGCGCAAGCCUGAUCCAGCCAUACCGCGUGGGUGAAGAAGGCCUUCGGGUUGUAAAGCCCUUUUGUUGGGAAAGAAAAGCAGCAGGUUAAUACCCCGCUGUUCUGACGGUACCCAAAGAAUAAGCACCGGCUAACUUCGUG
rnacentral:rRNA from 1 species